AAUAACAGAUCGAAAGAGCUGCUAAUACCGCAUAAUAUCCAGGAGAUUAGAUGCUUCUGGAUUAAAGGAUUUAUCCGCUUCGGGAGGGGCCUGCGUCCCAUCAGCUAGUUGGUAAGGUAAAGGCUUACCAAGGCGAUGACGGGUAGGGGACCUGAGAGGGUGGCCCCCCACAAUGGAACUGAAACACGGUCCAUACACCUACGGGUGGCAGCAGUAGGGAAUAUUAGUAAUGGGCGAAAGCCUGAACUAGCAACGCCGCGUGUGCGAAGGAGGCCUUCGGGUUGUAAAGCACUUUUUGAGAGGAUGAGGAAGGACGGUACUCUCAGAAUAAGUCUCGGCUAACUACGUGCCAGCAGCCGCGGUAACACGUAGGAGGCGAACGUUAUCCGGAUUUACUGGGCGUAAAGCGCGUGUAGGUGGUUUGGUAAGUAGGGCGUGAAAGCUCCUGGCUCAACUGGGAGAGGCCGUUCUAAACUGCCGAACUAGAGGAUGGUAGAGGGAGGUGGAAUUCCGGGUGUAGCGGUGGAAUGCGCAGAUAUCCGGAGGAACACCAGUGGCGAAAGCGGCCUCCUGGACCAUUCCUGACACUCAGACGCGAAAGCUAGGGUAGCAAACGGGAUUAGAGACCCCGGUAGUCCUAGCCCUAAACGAUGUAGAAUAGGCGUCGGUGGUUUAAACGCCAUCGGUGUCCAAGCUAACGCGAUAAGUCUACCGCCUGGGGGCUACGGCCGCAAGGUUAAAACUCAAAGGAAUUGACGGGUCCCCGCACAAGCAGCGGAGCGUGUGGUUUAAUUCGUUGCUACACGAAGAACCUUACCUGGGUUUGACAUAGCAGUGGUAGGGAAGCGAAAGCAGACCGACCCUUCGGGGAGCUGUUACAGGUGUUGCAUGGCUGUCGUCAGCUCGUGUCGUGAGAUGUUCGGUUAAGUCCGCUAACGAGCGCAACCCUCGCUGUGUGUUACAAGUGUCACACGGUACUGCCGGUAUUAAGUCGGAGGAAGGUGGGGAUGACGUCAAGUCAGCAUGACCUUUAUAUCCAGGGCUACACACACGCUACAAUGGUCAGUACAACAGGUUGCCAAGCCGCGAGGCGGAGCCAAUCCUAAAAAGCUGGCCUCAGUUCAGAUAGCAGUCUGCAACUCGACUGCAUGAAGUUGGAGUUGCUAGUAACCGCAGGUCAGCUAUACUGCGGUGAA
rnacentral:rRNA from 1 species